GCCAGAGUGCUGGAAUUGGUAGACAGGCACGGUUCAGAACCGUGUGCUCUUUAAGGGCGUGGGAGUUCAAAUCUCCCCUCUGGCA
rnacentral:tRNA from 1 species